rnacentral:rRNA from 1 species
UGCAUAUCAAUAAGCGGAGGAAAAGAAACCAACAGGGAUUGCCUCAGUAACGGCGAGUGAAGCGGCAAAAGCUCAAAUUUGAAAUCCUUCGGGAGUUGUAAUUUGAAGGUGAAGGGACCGCGGUAGAUGAUGAUUAAAGUCCCUUGGAACAGGGCGCCUUAGAGGGUGAGAGCCCCGUACAGUCAUCCAUCUUCCUCUUAUGUUCUUUCUCCAACGAGUCGAGUUGUUUGGGAAUGCAGCUCAAAGUGGGUGGUAAAUUCCAUCUAAAGCUAAAUACCGGCGAGAGACCGAUAGCGAACAAGUACCGUGAGGGAAAGAUGAAAAGCACUUUGAAAAGAGAGUGAAACAGUACGUGAAAUUGUUGAAAGGGAAGGGCUUGCAAGCAGACACAACCCUCGUGGUUGGGCCAGCAUCGGUUGCUAGGGGUGGAUAAGGCGGCGGGAAUGUAGCUUCCUCGGAAGUAUUAUAUCCCGCUGAGAUACACCCACCGGCGACCGAGGCCUGCGAUUUUAAAUCAAGGAUGCUGGCGUAAUGGUUGCAAGCCGCCCGUCUUGAAACACGGACC